AGAGUUUGAUCCUGGCUCAGAACGAACGCUGGCGGCGCGUUUUAAGCAUGCAAGUCGAGGGAUAUUUUGGAGCUUGCUCCGAAGGAAACCGGCGAACGGGUGAGUAACACGUAGAUAAUCUACCUUUUGGUUGGGGAUAGCUCAUGGAAACAUGGGGUAAUACCGAAUAGAGUUAUUUCUGCAUAAGUAGGAAUAAAGAAAGGGGCUUAGGCCUCGCCUUAAGAUGAGUCUGCGCCUGAUUAGGUAGUUGGUGGGGUAAUGGCCCACCAAGCCAACGAUCAGUAGCCGGCCUGAGAGGGUGUACGGCCACACUGGAACUGAGACACGGUCCAGACCCCUACGGGAGGCAGCAGCUAAGAAUCUUCCGCAAUGGGCGCAAGCCUGACGGAGCGACGCCGCGUGAACGAUGAAGGCCGUGAGGUUGUAAAGUUCUUUUCUUACUGAGGAAUAACAAUUGCAGGGAAUGGCAGUUAGAUGACGUUAAGUAAGGAAUAAGCCCCGGCUAAUUACGUGCCAGCAGCCGCGGUAACACGUAAGGGGCAAGCGUUGUUCGGAAUCAUUGGGCGUAAAGGGCGCGUAGGCGGUUACGCAAGUCUGGUGUUAAAUAUCUCGGCUUAACUGAGAAAAAGCGCUGGAAACUGUGUGACUUGAGUAGCGUAGGGGUACCUGGAAUUCCUAGUGUAGGGGUGAAAUCUGUAGAUAUUAGGAAGAACACCUGUGGCGAAGGCGAGGUACUGGGCGCAAACUGACGCUGAGGCGCGAAAGUGUGGGGAGCAAACAGGAUUAGAUACCCUGGUAGUCCACACCGUAAACGAUGUACACUAGGUGCUGGGAGUUAAUCUCAGUGCCGGAGCAAACGCAAUAAGUGUACCGCCUGGGGAGUAUGCUCGCAAGGGUGAAACUCAAAGGAAUUGACGGGGGCCCGCACAAGCGGUGGAGCAUGUGGUUUAAUUCGAUGAUACGCGAGUAACCUUACCAGGGCUUGACAUAUGCAUGACUGUCAUAGAGAUAUGGCAUCUCUUCGGAGCGUGUAUACAGGUGCUGCAUGGCUGUCGUCAGCUCGUGCUGUGAAGUGUUGGGUUAAGUCCCGCAACGAGCGCAACCCCUUCUGUCUGUUGCUACCAUUAAGUUGAGGACUCAGACGGUACUGCCGGUGACAAACCGGAGGAAGGUGGGGACGACGUCAAGUCAUCAUGGCCCUUAUGUCCUGGGCUACACACGUGCUACAAUGGCCGGUACAGAGUGAAGCGAAACGGUGACGUGGAGCAAAACGCAGAAAGCCGGUCUCAGUACGGAUUGGAGUCUGAAACUCGACUCCAUGAAGGUGGAAUCGCUAGUAAUCGCGCAUCAGCAUGGCGCGGUGAAUACGUUCCCGGGCCUUGUACACACCGCCCGUCACACCACCCGAGUUGGGGGUACCCGAGGUCGCUAGUCUAACCUGCAUAAGGAGGACGGUGCCGAAGGUAUGCCUAGUAAGGGGGGUGAAGUCGUAACAAGGUA
rnacentral:rRNA from 1 species